rnacentral:rRNA from 1 species
CCUACGGGAGGCUGCAGUGGGGAAUAUUGGGCAAUGGACGCAAGCCUUACCCAGCAACGCCGCGUGAAUGAAGAAGGCUUUCGGAUUGUAAACUUCUUUUCUCAGGGACGAAAAAAGUGACGGUACCUGAGGAAUAAGCCACGGCUAACUACGUGCCAGCAGCCGCGGUAAUACGUAGGUGGCAAGCGUUGUCCGGAUUGAUUGGGUGUAAAGGGCGUGUAGGCGGGGUAGCAAGUCAGAUGUGAAAACCCAGGGCUCAACCCAGGGUCUGCAUUUGAAACUGUGUUUCUUGAGUGCUGGAGAGGCAAGUGGAAUUCCGUGUGUAGCGGUGAAAUGCGUAGAUAUACGGAGGAACACCAGUGGCGAAGGCGGAUUGCUGGACAGUAACUGACGUUGAGGCUCGAAAGUGUGGGGAGCAAACAGGAUUAGAUACCCCAGUAGUC